rnacentral:rRNA from 1 species
UACGGAGGGUGCAAGCGUUAAUCGGAAUUACUGGGCGUAAAGGGCGCGUAGGUGGCCGUGUAAGUCGGAUGUGAAAGCCCCGGGCUUAACUUGGGAAUUGCAUUCGAUACUGUAUGGCUAGAGUGUGGCAGAGGAAAGCGGAAUUCCCGGUGUAGCGGUGAAAUGCGUAGAUAUCGGGAGGAACAUCAGUGGCGAAGGCGGCUUUCUGGGUCAACACUGACACUGAGGCGCGAAAGCGUGGGGAGCAAACAGGAUUAGAUACCCCAGUA